UUUUAUUCUUUAGCCGGAUGAUAGGGGGUGAUGAAGUAUAUGGGGAUCUUCGUGUGGUGAAUAUUCAUAGUAGGUUGUGAAAAAGAAGGGAUGAUAUUGAGCUACUAUUUACUCUUAUAAGCUCUAGAAUAGUUGUGAAAAAAAAGAAAAAAAAAAGAGAAAAGAAAAAGAAAGAAAAAAAAAAGUAUAAAGUCAAGUGUAUAUUGAGAUAUUUGUUUGAAAAUUGACUUUGUGUGUUGGAAAUAAAUGGAGAGCAUAAAAAAGUGUCUAGUUCUGUUUUGUGAUGAUUAAAUCCCUCGAGUUGUGUUGAUUAUGGUGAUAUAGUUGGGUGGAAGAUGAAAUUUAUUCCAUGCUUGAUUAGUGAAGCUAUAAGGUUGGUGUUCUUGAUCUAUUUGAGUCACUUAGCCUAUAUUUCCCUACCUUAACCAAUGUCCCUACAUUAUAACCCGAAUAAAAAGACCUUUUUUAUCUUAGUCCUGGCACACUAUUAGCGAUGAAGAUUGUAGACGAUUGGCAAGCCUAUGGUAAGAGAUCUGCAUUGUAUUGAAUUUCGUUGAGAGUAUACACGUCCUAUUCCAUCAAAUUGAGAGUUGAGUGAUACACAUACCU
rnacentral:lncRNA from 1 species